rfam:Tupaia chinensis contig65319, whole genome shotgun sequence.
AGUGCACAUGCCCAAUAGCAAAAUCCUCUCUGAAAAAAUAUAUAUAUACAUGUGUGUGUGUGUAUAUAUAUAUAUAUACACACACACACAUGUAUAUAUAUAUUUUUUCAGAGAGGAUUUUGCUAUUGGGCAUGUGCACU